CAUAUACUAUCAGGUACAGGCUCUUAUCAUUGCAGACUAAGCUCUUUUGUUUUAUAAACUGGUGAAUACCCAAUGCACUGAUGUUCAGAAGAGAACAGCUCAGAGUGAAGUCAUCUCGUGGCAUCUCUUCAUACAUUGCUGAUUUUGUGCGUAUGUGCCACAGCCCUGUGUUUGCCAACAUCUUCACUCACAGGCAAUACAGAGAUUGAUGUGGAUAAUGGAAA